CUAUCCCUUAAACUUUGAAGAGCCAUGUUGGCAUGUCUGUUAAAAAGGCCUAUAUUCUUGAUUCAACAGAAAAUAGAGACUUAAUUCUUUAACAUCUUUUUUUUCUUUUAUUACUGUUUACAUGUCCAGCAUGGAUUGUUAAACACACUCAGAAGAUGUGAACAAACACAAAUGUAUAAAAUCCUCAGUUUCUACAUAAGAAAAAAAUCAAAAACAAAUCGGAAUGUUAUUAACAAGGUAAAAAUCUAAAAACCACAAAAGAAAAAUAUUGAAAAGGUACUAUUUACAAUUUUAAAAUGACCAAAUUUAAGACAAUAUUAAGAAAAAAUAUUUAACUGAAAAUACAAUUAAACUAAAUUUAAUUUUACCAUCAUUAAUGAAGAUGAGUAGGUUUUUAAGAAAACACUGCAGCACAACUUUGUGCACAUUAACAGCAUUGCUUUAAAUGUUAGUGAUUUGCUACAAUAUUUUGUCUGUAAAUGCUUUGUCUAGUUUUAAACAGCAUGUUUUUUGUAAGGCUCAUUAAGAUUCCCUUCAAGACAGUGUGCAUGGCUAGAUGCAUUGUUGCACAACAGGCCGAUUUGAUACUGAAUCUGCCCUUGACACAGAACAAUGCAGACAAAAGCAAAUACACGGUCUCAUUCUACUCAGCUGAUUCCACAAAUGUGAAGACAACAUAUUGUCCCAACCUUUUUUGGCUACUUAUUUAGUAAAUCAAACAAUGAUUGCAGUCGAAUAACUGCAACUGGUUAACAAAUGGUGUGGACGGAUGUUCUUAGAGGCACCUCUGAUCAGAACUCAAGUUUAUAUCAGGAGAAUAUACAUACACACAGAAGUCACCCUCUGCAUAUGUAGCAUCACUGUACGGUCCACUUGGGUGGUCAGACAAAGUAGCAGUGGUCCUGAGCUGCGUUUAUUAGAACGGUGUGACCAAAACUGUCAAUGUCCAUGAUUCACACCGAAAGCCUUCUGAGCGGAGGCUGUUAGUAUGCAAUGCUAGUGUGAGGGCUGGUGGGAGGAAGCUUUCUAGCCCUGGCUGAGAGCCCAGUCUAUCUUCCUGUUGGCCAGAAGCAGUGUGCAGGACAAUAAUGAAGCAAGAGAGAGGGGCCAUUGUUAUAAGAGCCAGUCCUAAACUUGGCCAAGAGUUGAUUUGAGAUGGCAGAGAAAAUGUUAGACUUAUAAAUCUACAGAAUCACAUACCAACAGAUAAACAAACUGUUUUGAUUAUUCAUCAGUCACUGUCUACCACAGUUUUGUUUAGUCACCCUUAUCAUCUCUGAAAAUCAAAGAAAUCUGUGUAGAAGCAAACAUACCAAGUAAUACUCUUAUUCAUACUAAACUAAGUCCCUUACCACCUUAUUGUGAUGGUACACUGAAUGUAUCCAAUAUAUAUAUAUAUUACACGGCUCUGUGGAAUACUUGAUUCUGAUUGGUCAGUUGCGACAUUUCGAGGCAUGUUAUCCCUCGAUAACAACCGGAAAAUGCUAAUAACACAGGCUCAUCCGGGUAACAGCAGUCAGUGCUGUACUCUUGCUUGAACUAUUUUUUCUUGGUGGAAGCUUUGCGUUUGUUUAGCUAUAAAGUAUUAAAACUUGAUUCAAAAUGGUUUACAAUUAUUUAAUUAUGUCAUCCUGGUAUCGCGGACUCGCUCUUGUUUCAUAAAAACGCAGAUGCUGCCAUUUUGCUAAGAUUAUAAGAGAACUAACAAACUGGUAAACUUUAAAACAUUUUUGUCUUAAAUCUUUUAUUGCCUUAAUAAUUUUUGUGGUGAAAUGUUGUGUAAUAAGUGGUUUGACUCCACCGUUUCCCCUAAAUGUCCGUCUAGUUUGAAUUUGCCGCUUGCUCACAACUGCUGUCUUCAUGGAAGCUUUGCGUUCAAAUAUUUUAACUCAAAUCAAUAUUUCACGUCUAAUUAUUUACUUAUGUGGCAAGUAGCCGUGUAAUAAGCGGGAUAAUGUACAUCCAGCCAGUUGACUGGAUUAUGGACUGGGCCAGUUCCCAGGGCCCUUAGACUGCCAUGGCCAUCAAAGCCUAAGACCAUGCCAAAUACUGCCUAAAGGACUGCCUAUGAUACUUAACAUAGCUCGAGCUGACUACUAGGGCACCAGGCCCCCUGGGUGCACACAAUUGGACAUGACCACUAGGUGCCUGGGCCCUCCCAUUGCAUACAGUGGGACAUAACCACUGGGGUAAUGACCUGCCCAGCAUAUACAGUGAGGCAUUACCAACAGGGCCCCAGUCUACAGUGGGAUAUAUUACCACUAUUUCAUUGGACCAUCCAGCACAUACUGUACAGUGGGACAUGAGCACUAGAGCCCCAGCCCCCUUGGUGCAGGAUCUACGGCCUUGACCCACCCAGCCCAUACAUUGCAAAAUGACUGCUAGGGCACCAGGUCCCAUAGUGCAUACAGUGGGAUGCAACCACUGGGGCCACAGCCUGCCCGGCACAUACACUGGGACAUGACCAGUUCUAGGCAUCUCCAGGCACAUGCAAUGAGACAUUAUCACUAGGGCCCUGGGCCGCUCAGUACAUUAGUGGGACAUGACCACUAGAGCACCCAGGUGCUUACAGUGGGACCACUGCAGCCCCUAGCCCCUUGACGAAUACAGACCAAGCUGACUACUAGAGUCCCAGUCCCCUCACUGCAUACAGAAUACAAUGACCACUAUGUCCACUCAGUGGCUAGGGCUACUGUUGUUUGUCACCUAAAAUUAUCCUAGCAAAACAUGUUCCCUAAUUUUUGUUGCAUAAUGCAGGAUAAGAGGUCCACUACUAGAGGUGGAACUAGGAGGGAUGGGGCUCCAAAGAUGCUUGCCCAGGGGCCUCAAGGAACCAUGAUCUGGCCCUGAAUGCAAUGCUGCAUGAUGCUGUACUGUAGAUGAUUUUAACUAUAAGGUACUUCAAAGAAUACCACUGAAUUUGGUUUUGUCCAAAAAAUGGUAUUACCAUGGUACUACAGUAUGUCCAAAAUACUAGGCAAAUACCAUGUAAAAGUUGCUGAUUAUGGAAAAAGGCCAUAAAGGUGUGUGAAAAUCAGACAAAGAAUGGGCUAUGGUGGGAACAAGAUAAGGCCUGGGUGAGCCCCUGAGAGUGAGUGUUUCAGAUAUCCUUCAAGCUUGUUUAUGUAUUCCUCAUUGAUCUGGGCGACUGGAGGAGAAGGUAGAGGGCAUUGGGGGAGGGACGGAAGAGCUUUUAUGUUUGAUUAACUCUCCUCCAAAUCUCCUCAGGAGCACUGUGAGGAGGGGCAGAUCGCCUGGCAAUGAUUUUCGGUGAGAUUCAUCAGUUACAGCAUUCCGAUCAUGACUGUCCUGUGUCUCCUCUACUCUUCCAAUAAUAUUUAUCAAAGUGCUUUCUGCUCUACCUUGUCUGACAGGACAAUAUUUAUAAUACCACUCACUUUCGUUCUCUCCUCUAUGUCUGCCUCUCCCACUGUGAAAGGAGAAAUUCUCUCACUGAUUGUGAAGAAUAAAUGAUUGAGUUUUUGUCAGAGGCACUUUAAAAAGUGGCGGCAGUUUGUUUCUUAAUGCUUUCCGUGUCUGAGUAUACUAGCUGAGUUUAUGUAGGUUAGACACUAGACUAAGCAAACACCACAGAAAGCAAACACAGACCUACCUGACAGCAGUAAUAUCUUACAAUAUUAGGAAACUUGCCUAAUUUGUCUACUUUGCCUAGUAGAUAACAUCAGCAUGAAUAAGUCGUGAAUGAAACAGGGAUCCUGUUUCCACUUCUGGUCAAGAAAUGCGCUCCAAAAAUAACUGGCAGUGGAUCCUGGCAAUGUGGGCCAUGGGACUGUGUGCCAGCAAGCUCUCAUAUAGGGAUGAUAUUGCUACAUACACUAUCUACCAAGCAUCUCAAGCUUGGGCCAAAUAUAUACUCUACGCAAGUAUGUUUACACAAAUGUGAAUGCUAGGCCAAUGCACUGCAAGUGGACUGUCUCUUCAGACAUACUUAAUGUGCAUUCAAAUUCAAACCUCAGUACUUAAGGUAAGGUGGAUUUAUCUUAAAACGUCAAGUAUCAGUGAAAGUUUUAUUCAGGUAGCUCGCUAGAAACAUGUUGACAGUUUAACUAACCUAAACUUGCUCAGCAAGAUUCUCUUUUGCUGCCUAACAGUAAUAGACUUGGAAAAAACACAAAAAAAAUCAACAUCUAUCCCUAGAAGAAAUUCAUUCCUGUUUGGAAAUGAAUUCACUUUUAUGUUUAUGCUAAUAUAUGCUAUAGCACUCCUUGUGGCAAUGCUGAGAAUGCAACAUAAAAUUGAGGUAACUAAAUAAACAUGUCCACAUACUUGCGUAUGAGUAUGUUUCAGCCCGAGAGGGAGCUUGCUGUGGGUUUAUCCCACUCCUGCUUGUUUAUUACAACCCCACCUAUAAAUUAUCCCCAUCACUGUAAUACAAUCCAGUUCAUACUCUUACCAACACACCAUAAGCCCUUUCACAAAGACUUAAGAUAUAAGGUUUCUGCAUCUAAACCCUUUUCAUUUGAACUCACAGUUGUCCCUGAUUCUUUCCCUCUUUUCUCAACCGACUUCGUUCAAUGCGAGUAGUAUUUCUUAGAAAGGGAGAGCUUUGGGUUGGGGUAGAAAGAGGUUAGCAAUGGCUUUCACCCCCUGCUGUUUUUAAAAUUAGACUAUUACCUAACAUUCCCUACAACAGUGGGCCCCUACUAAGGCUUUUAUUUAUAAUUGGGCCUGAGAAGCUUUCUCAAGUGUAUUUUACUGAGUUUUAAAUUGGUAUACACUAGUGGUAUUCAUUUUAUAGCUCUUUUGUUCAAUCAAAUGAAAAUAUGAAAAUGCUAUUAUAUAAAUAUACACUCAGCAAAUGCUAUUAUAUAAAUAUACACUCAGCAAAUGCCUUCAGCACCAGCAAAGUAAGAUCUUACUCAAUGCCUUAGAUUUUUUUCAAACCCCUUAAAUGAAAGCAGCCUAAGUGUUGUGUUCCUCAGACAAUAAAAUGUAUAAUUGCCACAGUGUCACGGGACUUUUGGGAGAUAAAAACACAACUUGCAAGAAAGAAAUCAGUAGGGCUCUACAAAUGUAGACAGAACCACAUAAAACAUGUUUGGCUGGCACGACCAAGGCACAGCUGAUAAAACAGGCGGGCAAUAAAAUCGGACUUUUUUGCUAUGAUCGCACUAGGUAAGCAAAUUUUAGAGAAAAGUCCCUAUUUUAUGACAUCAAAACAAAUAGCAGGUAAAAUUCAGUGAAAUGCAACUGGACAUAGUUAAUGAUUGAAUAACCAGGUCCAGUUGUUUGUGAAUUAACUGCAAAAAGGAGGUUCGAAAAGUCGGAGACAUGUAGUUGAAAAGGUUAAUGUAAUGGUUAUUUUUUUUUAUGCAAUAAAUGCUUUCUUAAAUUAAAAUAUUAUUAGCAUAAUAGUUUGAGCUGAAAAAUUAACAUGAAUUUCUUCACGCAAGCUGCAUGAUCAAAU
ensembl:lncRNA